GCCGUUGUGGUGUAACGGUAGCACACUCGGCGCGUACGUGAGAGAUCCAGGUUCGAGUUCCGGCGAGGGCA
rnacentral:tRNA from 1 species